UUACUCGCUAGCCAAAGAGAGCAACUAGAUUGUUAAACUUUGGUUACGCGAUUUUCACUAGCUAUUCCCAAUCCUUGUCAGACAUUAGAAACUAGAAAGCAAGAAAUGAAUUUACCUUGAAUUGAAUAAUACUUGAUUCUGUCUCAUUCUGUCAAUCUAAAUGCAUGUACAAAUGAGAUUCAUUUCAGGGUGUCAUCCGAGAUGGAG
rnacentral:misc_RNA from 1 species